UAUGAAUCUCUCAAUCUCUCUCACUCUCUCUCUCUCUCUCUCUCUCUCUCUCUCUCUCUCUCCCCUCGUCCUGGUGUUUUUGUUUGUUUUUAUGGUGCUGAGGAUUGAACACAGUGCCUUUGCAGUGAGCUGUGUCCCCGGCCUUUUAAAUUUGGUUUUUAAAUUUUGAGAUAAAGUCUCAUUAAGUUCCCCAGGCUGGGCUCAAACAUUCCACCCUCUGCCUAUAGGCCUGUGCUACCAUGCCUGACUCUGGUGGGAUUUUUUUGGGUUUUUUCAAGACAUUAUGUUAUUUUAAGUGAAAAAAAUCCCUAAAAUUUGAGAUCAUUGCCACAAGCUUUAGUGUUCAUCUUUAUAUUGUUCAAUGCCAUCUUUUUUUUUUUCCUUUGGUACCAGGGAUCAAACUCAGGACCUUGCGCUUAUGAGGCAGGUGCCAGAACCACUGAGCUAAAUCACCGGCCCUAUUCAAUGUCUUCUUGAAAUGCAAAUAUAAGAACAUUUAACUCCUCUAUAGUCACUGAAAUUACAAAUUUGUGUUUUGUGCCUUAUACAUGCAUAUGUAUUUUGUUCUUACCAGUAGGAAUGCUGCACAAGAGCAGCUCAGCCGUCUGCACUUCGCUUGUUGGAACACACACCCUGCCGCACUCUUUGGCUGCUGCUCCGUAAGGAAGGUCUCGGGAAAAGGCACUGUUAUGGCCCCAUACUUCCCUUUCCUUCUCUGUCACCAGCUCCAACCUAACUUGUUGACUGAUGUGAGGAAGUAACUGAGGUCCACAAACUUGGCUCAAAACAGCACAGGUGCAGUAUCUUACAGUUCUGCGGGCCAGAGUUUAGCAUGGGUUCCAUGGGGCCCAAAGCCAGACGCCAGAGGGAUGGCUCCUUCCGGAAGCUCUGGAGAGAAUCUGCGUCUCUGCUGAGGCCCGUUCCUCGAGGCCCCUUGUGCUCCUGGACCCAGGCCCCUCCUGCCGUCAAGGCCAGACCUGCUUCCACCGUCACGUCUUCCCUGGCUCUCUUCUGCCUCCCUCCUCUGCAUUUAAGGACCCAUGUGGCUCCGUUACGCUCACUAUGAUAAAGCAAAAUGAUAUCCCCGCCUCAAGAUCCUUGGCCUCAUCACGAACCUACCAAGACCCUUCUGCCAUGGAAAGUUACAGUCACGGGUUCCGGGGAUGAGGAAGUAGACAUUUUGGGGGUCGUUCUGCCUAUCCCAGAUGGGGAUGACAACCUCAUAUCCCCCUUUUUAAAAAAGAUGAAAUGCUUCACGAA